rnacentral:lncRNA from 1 species
CCACUUCCUCCAAACUCACUAUUUCUCCAUCCUCAGUUAGUGUUUCUCCUUCACCCAAAAUCAACACCCUAAGAGAUUUCUCAGGGCAUUUAUGCAGAGUAGGGUGAUAUUUACCACCACACUUGAAACAUAAUCCUUUCCUCCAUCUUUCUUCUGUUUCUUCAUUGUUAAAGCUUCGCACACCCUUCCACCUUUCCGUCGCACCAGAUCGAGAGUUUCCUUCGUGUUUACGAGCUGAGGAAACCGCCGUUGAGUUAGAAUUUGAGUUUGAACCAUACGACGCCGUCUUUGAGUUAGAAUAAGACCCAAUUGAACGUGUUUGGUUUUGGGUUUGCGACCCGUUUCUAUUUUUAAACGACCCGGACAAUGAUAACACUGAAAAAUAUAGUAUUUAUUUUAUAAUAUUAGUUUAAUAUUUUAUUAUUUUCUUUGCAUUUUAGUAGUAUUAUUAUCAUUUUUUAUUGUGUAUUACAGGUAUUUCCGGAACUUCUCAAAAUAAAAAAGGUCACAAAAUUAAUGUCAAAGUGGAUAAAAAAAGACAUUGGAUCAGAUGGAAGAAAAGCCCAAAAGAAGUUGGACGAACAAGCCAAGCCCACAUGCACUUGGCAUGUGCCAGGCACAUGUGGUCCACACAACAACACAUGGCGUUGGCCAUGCUUGUGGCACUCGCCACACCUAUAAGCCAUGGCNN